GACGAACGCUGGCGGCGUGCCUAAUACAUGCAAGUCGAACGCUGAAGGAGGAGCUUGCUUCUCUGGAUGAGUUGCGAACGGGUGAGUAACGCGUAGGUAACCUGCCUGGUAGCGGGGGAUAACUAUGGGAAACGAGAGCUAAUACCGCAUAAGAGUAGAUGUUGCAUGACAUUUGCUUAAAAUGUGCAGUUGCAUCACUACCAGAUGGACCUGCGUUGUAUUAGCUAGUUGGUGGGGUAACGGCUCACCAAGGCGACGAUACAUAGCCGACCUGAGAGGGGGAUCGGCCACACUGGGACGGAGACACGGCCCAGACUACUACGGGAGGCAGCAGUAGGGAAUCUGAGGCAAUGGACGGAAGUCUGACCGAGCAACGCCGCGUGAGUGAAGAAGGGUUUCGGAUCGUAAAGCUCGGUUGUAAGAGAAGAACGAGUGUGAGAGUGGAAAGUUCACACUGUGACGGUAUCUUACAAGAAAGGGACGGCUAACUACGUG
rnacentral:rRNA from 1 species